rnacentral:rRNA from 1 species
AUACGUAGGGGGCGAGCGUUGUCCGGAAUUACUGGGCGUAAAGGGUGCGUAGGCGGCCUGAUAAGUCAGGUGUGAAAUACCAGGGCUCAACCCUGGGGGUGCACUUGAAACUGUCGGGCUUGAGUGCAGGAGAGGAAAGCGGAAUUCCUAGUGUAGCGGUGAAAUGCGUAGAUAUUAGGAGGAACACCAGUGGCGAAGGCGGCUUUCUGGACUGUAACUGACGCUGAGGCACGAAAGCGUGGGUAGCGAACAGGAUUAGAUACCCUGGUAGUCCACGCCGUAAACGAUGGAUACUAGGUGUAGGGAGGUAUUAACCUUUCGGUGCCGUAGUUAACGCAAUAAGUAUCCCGCCUGGGGAGUACGUGCGCAAGCAUGAA